GUGCUCUCUUCGACAGCACAUAUACUAAAAUUGGAAAGAUACAGGGAAGAUGAGCAUGUCCCUGCUCAAAGAUGAUGUGCAAAUUCCUGAAGCAUUCCAUAUUUUA